AAGCCAUGAUGAGGACACUCUAAGAGAAGAUCCUAGAAACGUUCCAUACACCUAGAAAACGAUUCAUUGGGUUUUUUGAUGAAACUGGAGAAUGUCAUUCCUAAGUUU
rfam:Cephalotus follicularis DNA, scaffold: scaffold2596, isolate: St1.